rnacentral:misc_RNA from 1 species
GAUGAAGAACGUAGCGAAAUGCGAUAAGUAGUGUGAAUUGCAGAAUUCAGUGAAUCAUCGAAUCUUUGAACGCACAUUGCGCCCCUUGGUAUUCCAUGGGGCAUGCCUGUUCGAGCGUCAUUUGUACCUUCAAGCUUUGCUUGGUGUUGGGUGUUUGUCUCGCCUUUGCGUGUAGACUCGCCUUAAAAUAAUUGGCAGCCGGCGUAUUGAUUUCGGAGCGCAGUACAUCUCGCGCUUUGCACUCAUAACGACAGCGUCCAAAAGUACAUUUUACACUCUUGACCUCGGAUCAGGUAGGGAUACCCGCUGAGCUUAAGCAUAUCAAUAAGCGGAGGA